GGCAGCUGCCCCACGCGGGACGCCUCUGCCCCGCGGCCCACACUGUGAACGACGGGUGCGGCGAGUGCCAUCCCCAACGGUGGAGAGACGGGCACCGCUCACUGACCCCGCAGCGAGGCACGGCCAGGUAAGGGCUCGGGAAGCAGCCAGCACGCCGAGCAGCCGUCGCACGCGCCGUGCCUGCGGAGAAUACGUUACAGCGCUCCGCCUUCGCUGAACCUCCGGUACCAACCAGGCAGAUUCACCCCCACCCUCAAACACGAUCCCGCAGGACACCGCAACUCACGCAGCCUGAAAAGCCUAAACUGAAGAGGCGGGGCGGGAGCGAUCCCGCGAGAAGACCGGAGGUGGCGAGACCGCGUCUCUUCGUAUCGCGAGGCUUGCGCUACUUCUCGCGAGAGCUACCGGAAGUCUUGGCCGCCGGCUGCCAGCGUCGGGCCUUAGGUAGCAGCCACCUGCCUACACUGCGAGUAAUGAAGACUCAACAGAACCCAAAGCAAGAUGAAGUUCCUUCUGUAUAUCAUCUUUGCUGUUAGCUGGAAUUUUAUUGUAACAAGUUAAUGAAAUGUGUGUGGUGGUUUAUGAGCCAGUGGUAACAGAAGAAUAGCAGGCAUGAAAGCACUGACAGAGUUGCUUCAACAAUAAACUACAUAAAUUUUGGAUACCGCAUAUGUUGGGGUAGGUUGUUCAAAAAUAUAGUACCA
rnacentral:lncRNA from 1 species